AGAUCAUUAUUCAAGCUCUCU
rnacentral:miRNA from 1 species